rnacentral:rRNA from 1 species
AUUGAACGCUGGCGGCAGGCCUAACACAUGCAAGUCGAACGAGUGGCGGACGGGUGAGUAAUGUAUGGGAAACUGCCCGAUGGAGGGGGAUAACUACUGGAAACGGUAGCUAAUACCGCAUACUAUCGGAUGUGCCCAGAUGGGAUUAGCUUGUUGGUGGGGUAACGGCUCACCUAGGCGACGAUCCCUAGCUGGUCUGAGAGGAUGACCAGCCACACUGGAACGGAGACACGGUCCAGACUCCUACGGGAGGCAGCAGUGGGGAAUAUUGCACAAGGGGCGCAAGCCUGAUGCAGCCGUGCCGCGUGUAUGAAGAAGGCCUUAGGGUUGUAAAGUACUUUCAGCGGGGAGACGUUACCCGCAGAAGAAGCACCGGCUAACUCCGUGCCAGCAGCCGCGGUAAUAC